rnacentral:rRNA from 1 species
ACGAACGCUGGCGGCAUGCCUAACACAUGCAAGUCGAACGAGGAUCCAGAGCUUGCUUUGGAUCCUAGUGGCGAACGGGUGAGUAACGCGUGGGAACCUACCCUGGAGCGGGGAAUAACUGCUGGAAACGGCGGCUAAUACCGCAUGCGCCCCAAGGGGGAAAGGCUUCGGCCACUCUGGGAUGGUCCCGCGUCCUAUUAGCUAGUUGGUGAGGUAACGGCUCACCAAGGCGACGAUAGGUAGCUGGUCUGAGAGGAUGAUCAGCCACACUGGGACUGAGACACGGCCCAGACUCCUACGGGAGGCAGCAGUGGGGAAUAUUGGACAAUGGGGGAAACCCUGAUCCAGCAAUGCCGCGUGAGUGAAGAAGGCCUUAGGGUUGUAAAGCUCUUUCAAUUGUGAAGAUGAUGACGGUAACAGUAGAAGAAGCUCCGGCUAACUCCGU